UACGUAGGGUGCAAGCGUUGUCCGGAAUUAUUGGGCGUAAAGAGCUCGUAGGCGGUCUGUCGCGUCGGCUGUGAAAACCCGGGGCUCAACCCCGGGCCUGCAGUCGAUACGGGCAGACUAGAGUUCGGCAGGGGAGACUGGAAUUCCUGGUGUAGCGGUGAAAUGCGCAGAUAUCAGGAGGAACACCGGUGGCGAAGGCGGGACUCUGGGCCGAUACUGACGCUGAGGAGCGAAAGCGUGGGGAGCAAACAGG
rnacentral:rRNA from 1 species